GAUGAACGCUGGCGGCGUGCCUAAUACAUGCGAGUCGAGCGAACAGACGAGGAGCUUGCUCCUUUGACGUUAGCGGCGGACGGGUGAGUAACACGUGGGUAACCUACCUAUAAGACUGGGAUAACUUCGGGAAACCGGAGCUAAUACCGGAUAAUAUUUCGAACCGCAUGGUUCGAUAGUGAAAGAUGGCUCUGCUAUCACUUAUAGAUGGACCUGCGCCGUAUUAGCUAGUUGGUAAGGUAACGGCUUACCAAGGCAACGAUACGUAGCCGACCUGAGAGGGUGAUCGGCCACACUGGAACUGAGACACGAUCCAGACUCCUACGGGAGGCAGCAGUAGGGAAUCUUCCGCAAUGGGCGAAAGCCUGACGGAGCAACGCCGCGUGAGUGAUGAAGGUCUUCGGAUCGUAAAACUCUGUUAUUAGGGAAGAACAAACGUGUAAGUAACUGUGCACGUCUUGACGGUACCUAAUCAGAAAGCCACGGCUAACUACGUG
rnacentral:rRNA from 1 species